CCUACGGGAGGCAGCAGUGGGGAAUAUUGGGCAAUGGGCGCAAGCCUGACCCAGCAACGCCGCGUGAGGGAAGAAGGCUUUCGGGUUGUAAACUUCUUUUCUGAGGGACGAAGAAAGUGACGGUACCUCAGGAAUAAGCCACGGCUAACUACAUGCCAGCAGCCGCGGUAAUAAGUAGGUGGCAAGCGUUAGCCGGAGUUCGUGGGUGUAAAGGGCGUGUAGGCGGGAAAGUAAGGCAGAUGUGAAAACUCAGGGCUCAACCCUGAGCCUGCAGUUGAAACUGUUUUUCUUGAGUGCUGGAGAGGCAAGCGGAAUUCCGGGUGUAGCGGUGAAAUGCGUAGAUAUAAGGAGGAACACCAGUGGCGAAGGCGGAUUGCUGGACAGUAACUGACGCUGAGGCGCGAAAGCGUGGGGAGCAAACAGGAUUAGAUACCCCAGUAGUC
rnacentral:rRNA from 1 species